rnacentral:rRNA from 1 species
UACGUAGGGGGCAAGCGUUGUCCGGAAUCAUUGGGCGUAAAGCGCGUGUAGGCGGCCAGAAAAGUCUGCUGUGAAAACUCGAGGCUCAACUUCGAGCUGUCGGUGGAAACUUUCUGGCUAGAGUCCGGAAGAGGAGAAUGGAAUUCCUGGUGUAGCGGUGAAAUGCGCAGAUAUCAGGAAGAACACCCGUGGCGAAGGCGGUUCUCUGGGACGGUACUGACGCUGAGACGCGAAAGCGUGGGGAGCGAACAGG